UAACGGGAGGCAGCAGUGGGGAAUAUUGCACAAUGGGCGAAAGCCUGAUGCAGCUAUGCCGCGUGUAUGAAGAAGGCCUUAGGGUUGUAAAGUACUUUCAUCGGGGAGGAAAAACAAAACUAAUAAUUUUAUUUCUUGACGUUACCCGAAAAAGAAGCACCGGCUAACUCCGUGCCAGCAGCCGCGGUAAUACGGAGGGUGCUAGCGUUAAUCAGAAUUACUGGGCGUAAAGAGCACGUAGGUGGUUUUUUUAAAGUCAGAUGUGAAUCCCUGGGCUUAACCUAGGAACUGCAUUUUGAAACUGAAAUACUAGAGUAUCGUAGAGGGAGGUAGAAUUCUAGGUGUAGCGGUGAAAUGCGUAGAUAUCUGGAGGAAUACCUGUGGCGAAAGCGGCCUCCUAAACGAAUACUGACACUGAGGUGCGAAAGCGUGGGGAGCAAACAGGGAUUAGAUACC
rnacentral:rRNA from 1 species